AUUGAACGCUGGCGGAAUGCUUUACACAUGCAAGUCGAACGGCAGCACGGGUGUUUGCACCUGGUGGCGAGUGGCGAACGGGUGAGUAAUACAUCGGAACGUACCCAGUCGUGGGGGAUAACGUAGCGAAAGUUACGCUAAUACCGCAUACGUCCUGAGGGAGAAAGCGGGGGACCGUAAGGCCUCGCGCGACUGGAGCGGCCGAUGGCGGAUUAGCUAGUUGGUGGGGUAAAGGCCUACCAAGGCGACGAUCCGUAGCGGGUCUGAGAGGACGGCCCGCCACACUGGAACUGAGACACGGUCCAGACGCCUACGGGAGGCAGCAGUGGGGAAUUUUGGACAACGGGCGAAAGCCUGAUCCAGCCAUUCCGCGUGAGUGAAGAAGGCCUUCGGGUUGUAAAGCUCUUUCGGCAGGGAAGAAACGGCUUGGGAUAAUACCCCGGGCUAAUGACGGUACCUGAAGAAGAAGCACCGGCUAACUACGUGCCAGCAGCCGCCGUAA
rnacentral:rRNA from 1 species